CGCUACAUCGCAUUUACGUUUCUACAGCCGUCACGAGAGAAGGCUCGACUAAAUAUCUGUGCGUGACUUGUGUUUUUUUUCUCUUUUUGGCUUAUCCUUUUGCAUUUGUGUCUCGCUUUCAGUGCACUUGUAAAUUGUGAAGAAUCACGUGCGAUUAUCAAUUAACUGGUACUAUUUCGAUAUUUUCGUGUCUACCGUAUUAUAUCCUGAGGGAUGGCAAAUUUAAAGGUACGCGUGGAUUCGCCUAAAGUGCGUUAUUCGAAAGAUUUCAUCGAGGCAGAAUACGAGUAUCAAAGGACUACCGUGGUCGAAGACGAUGAGAACGAUGAUGAUACUUAUACGAAGCUGAAUUGUUGCGUCAUAUAAAGAAUUCCAUCUGGUAGAGCAAGGUUAAACUGCAACCUGAAGCAUCAUGAAUUAUUCCCGAAGUUUUUGGUUGCCGUGAUGCAUUCCACAAUGCAGUGCAUUUGUCAAAUACUGGAUAGUGAAUUCUAGAUGCCGUAGAAUUUCUAAGUGCAUUGUGAAAAUCAGUUAUUGCCAACAAAUUCAAAGUAUGGCUUGCACAUCUUAAAUGAUGUGGUAAUAAAAGAUUAUUGUUAUUAUUUAUCAAGUUCAUUGAC